rnacentral:rRNA from 1 species
GACGAACGCUGGCGGCGUGCCUAAUACAUGCAAGUUGAGCGCUGAAGGUUGGUACUUGUACCCACUGGAUGAGCAGCGAACGGGUGAGUAACGCGUGGGGAAUCUGCCUUUGAGCGGGGGGCAACAUUUGGAAACGAAUGCUAAUACCGCAUAAAAACUUUAAACACAAGUUUUAAGUUUGAAAGAUGCAAUUGCAUCACUCAAAGAUGAUCCCGCGUUGUAUUAGCUAGUUGGUGAGGUAAAGGCUCACCAAGGCGAUGAUACAUAGCCGACCUGAGAGGGUGAUCGGCCACAUUGGGACUGAGACACGGCCCAAACUCCUACGGGAGGCAGCAGUAGGGAAUCUUCGGCAAUGGACGAAAGUCUGACCGAGCAACGCCGCGUGAGUGAAGAAGGUUUUCGGAUCGUAAAACUCUGUUGGUAGAGAAGAACGUUGGUGAGAGUGGAAAGCUCAUCAAGUGACGGUAACUACCCAGAAAGGGACGGCUAACUACGUG